GGACCGACAUUUCUGAAUGUCAUUCAUCUUAAAAGGAUGAAUAUAUGAUUUUAAGAAUAUUAGUCUCCUUUUGGUGUGGGAAGUAAACUGCAAUUUGGAGUAAAGGAGAGAAAUUAUUUGUGCCAUGGUGCAAAACAGAUGGCGUGGAGCAUAUAGACCAUCUUGGCAGUACAGGGGUGUGUGGCUAUCCAUCACUGUGCAGUCUGUCAGCAAGGAUCUUCAACCAGCUGGGAACAUGUAGCCCUCACGCAGAGCAGGUUAUCGCUG
rnacentral:lncRNA from 1 species